UACGGGGGGGGCAAGCGUUGUUCGGAAUUACUGGGCGUAAAGGCUCGUAGGCGGCCAACUAAGUCAGACGUGAAAUCCCUCGGCUUAACCGGGGAACUGCGUCUGAUACUGGAUGGCUUGAGUUUGGGAGAGGGAUGCGGAAUUCCAGGUGUAGCGGUGAAAUGCGUAGAUAUGUGGAGGAACACCGAUGGCCGAAGGCAGCCCCCUGGGAUAACACUGACGCUCGAUGCACGAAAGCG
rnacentral:rRNA from 1 species